CCUACGGGAGGCAGCAGUUAGGAAUUUUGCACAAUGGGCGAAAGCCUGAUGCAGCAACGCCGCGUGGACGAUGAAGGCCUUCGGGUCGUAAAGUCCUUUUCAGAGGGAAGAAACGGACGGUACCUCUGGAAUAAGCCUCGGCUAACUACGUGCCAGCAGCCGCGGUAAUACGUAGGAGGCGAGCGUUAUCCGGAUUUACUGGGCGUAAAGAGCGCGUAGGCGGUUCCGUAAGUUGGGCGUGAAAGCCCCCGGCUUAACUGGGGAGGGUCGUGCAAGACUGCGGGACUUGAGGGCAGACGAGGAGACUGGAAUUCCCGGUGUAGUGGUGAAAUGCGUAGAUAUCUGGAGGACCACCGGAGGCGAAGGCGGUCUCCUGGGCCGUUACUGACGCUCAGGCACGAAAGCGGGGGGAGCAAACAGGAU
rnacentral:rRNA from 1 species